UUCUCAGACUGCUGCUCAUUUGGAUCGUUCUGUGUGCCAUCUCCAACAGAAACAGCUUCCUUAAUUGAGUUCUCAUUUUGUGUGGUAUGAGAGGCAGAACUGUCAUUUUCCUGCUGCUGUUUGUUGGCAUCAUUGGUUCCUUGUGCAAGAUUGGAGUCCUCGCCGGAGUUGUUCUCAUUUUGUGUAGUAUGAGCGACAGAACUUCCAUUUUCCUGCUGCUGUUUGUUGGCAUCAUUGGUUCCUUGUGCAAGAUUGGAGUCCUCGCCGGAGUUGUUCUCAUUUUGUGUAGUAUGAGCGACAGAACUUC
rnacentral:misc_RNA from 1 species